UACGUAGGGUGCAAGCGUUAAUCGGAAUUACUGGGCGUAAAGCGUGCGCAGGCGGUUUUGUAAGUUUGUCGUGAAAUCCCCAGGCUCAACCUGGGAACUGCAUCCGAUACUGGAUGGCUUGAAUCCGGGAGAGGGAUGCAGAAUUCCAGGUGUAGCGGUGAAAUGCGUAGAUAUCUGGAGGAAUACCGGUGGCGAAGGCGGCAUCCUGGACCGGCAUUGACGCUGAGGAGCGAAAGCUAGGGGAGCAAACGGG
rnacentral:rRNA from 1 species